UGACUAUGAUAGUAAUCAAGAAAUUACUACAACUAUUUGCUAGUAACCAAAAAAUUACUACGACCAUUGGUGUAGUAAAAUUAAAAAUUGCUAGAACCAUUCCGCUACUGGUAUCAGAGCCUUGUUGCUCUUUUUUAAAAAAUAAGGUGUUAUUUCUAAAAAAUUAAUGGAAAAUAACAGUUUAUUUAAAAACGAUUCAGAUGAGUCUGAAGAAAUAACUGAAGUUAUAAACUUUAGUGAAAACGAAAGAGGUUUUGUAUCAGAUUACAUGAUUAAUUCUGAUCAAUUAACAAAAAUUAGCAAGCUUAAAUUCAAGCUUGACGCAAAACAAGUUUUUAAUCAACCAAAAACUUUACAAAGUUUAGUUUCUAGAGCCUUUUCUAGAAAAAAUAAAAUAUUUUAUUGUUUUAACACUGAAGAACUUUCAGUUGACAUAAACAAUACCUCGGGUGAAGUUUAUUUGCCACUCUUAACAAAGGGUGAAAUAGCAAAAAAGCUUUUACAUAUUAAACCAGAGUUGAGAAAGUCUCUCAAUAUGGUACAUAUAGGAGCGGUUAAAAUCCUCCUAAAAGCACAGUUUAGAGAUGGAAUUAAUUUUCCUAUAAAAAUGGCCCUUGUUGAUAACAGAAUUAUCAAUAGGCAAGACGCUCUUCUUGGAGCAAUUCAAGGAAAUUUAGCAUAUGGUAAAUUUAUGUUUACUGUCUAUCCUAAAUUUGCUUUACAUCGAGAUUCAAAAGAUUUCGACAAAACUUUAAGUUUUAUACAUCAGUGUGAAAGAACUGAUCUUAUGGAACCAGGUAAUAAAGUAUUUACGAUUAAUUAUUUAGUCUCAUAUGCUUUAACAAAUAGCACUCAUUCAAUUGAGUACAAAGAAAAAGAAAGCAAAGCAAUUGAGGAUAUAUUCUCAGAUAUUGGAAUUGUUGAAGGCAGUAAAUUCGCUGAGCCAUCACAAUUACAAGAAAACUGGGCAAUUGAUAUUGCACGAAAUAAACAAGUUUUAGUAUCAAAACCUAGACACAGUUAUGCUGGAAGCUCUUUACAAAUAAGAGAAUCAAGUAACACUGAACAAUUAAUACGUUCUUUGUCUGAAAGAAUUGAUGGGUAUGGUAGAAUCUUAAAAGGAGUUAUUGGAGAAUAAUGUCUUCAAAACCAAUUUUAGAUUAUUUACAAUAUCUUGAUCAACAAAUCACCUUUGAAGAGGCUAAUAUACAAAUUUGCUUUACUAGAAUAAAUCAAAUUAAAGAAAAUUUUAUGUUAAGUCAUAAAACAAAAUCUCUUAAUAUAAAAAUUAUUAAGAAAAACAUUUUUGCUUCUAAGCAAAAAAUUAUUGAGCUUAGAACUAAAAAAGCAAUUAUAUCUAUAACAUGACUACUCUUUUAAAAUUAGAGGAACUUGUUAAAGAUUUAAUUAGAAAGGUAGAAAGUCUUUCUACAAACGAAAAUCUUGAGGCAACUGCCGCAAAAAUCAUCAAAGAUGUUUCAGACAAAAUUGAUGAAAGAAUGGAUUCAAAAACUUUUAUGCUUGAAAAGCAAAAAGAAAAAAUUAAUGAUGAAAAAAGCUUUCAAAAGUAUUCAUUUCCAAACUUCAACGUUGGAAAUCCAUCUCUAGGAAGUUCUAAAAGUCCAAAUGCAUUAUCAUGGCCUUUUGGAUCAAUUCCAAAUGACCAAUAAAGGUCAAAUGGAAAACCUUUUUAGAAAUAUAAAUCUAGAGAUCUCUAGACUUUAUUUCUGUCUAGAAAGAAAUAAUCAAAGAAUUUAUGAAUUACAUUCGGAUUGGAGCAUUCAUCCUUCUGAAAAAAUUCUUGAACUAACUGAUCUAAAAAGAAAAAAUUCUUUUAUUGAAAAAGAUAUUCAAAUAUUAAAGGAUAAAAAGAUUACUUUAUCUUGUGGAUAAAAUGAGUUCUAUCACUCAAAAAUUAGAGCAAAUUCUAGAUGAACAAUUGGAUACCCUUCCAAUUGAACAGAUAAAAGAACUUGUUAGUCUCAUUACUUUAGAUAACGAAGAAUGUGAACAAAAGUUUUCUGAAGAUAAAAUCUUAAAUGAAAGAUAUUUUUCUGAAAAUAAAGAACGAAUCUUUGUUUUAAAUAAUGAAGAACCAAGAAACUUUCCUAUAAAGAAAGAAGAACCCGAAACUGAAGAAAGCUCUUCAGAUAUGGAAAUGUCUCCAAGACAGAGAGCAAACAAUGCUUUUACUAGCAGAAGUAACAGGCAUAGAAAAAAGGAUACAGAAUUUUCCAUGCCAUACCAUAAGGGUAUACCUGAUUCUAAUAGUAAUGGUAGUGCAACUACUAUUAAUACUAUUAAAAUUGAUUGUAUCUUCAACCUCGACAAAAGAAAAGAGGUAAUUGAUAAGUGGAACACUGAGAUCAGUCUAAUCAUUCAGACUAAUUCAGAAGAGUUCUCUAAGGCUAAGGCUUUAUUAUUAUUAUUAGAACAUAAGUCUGCAGGAAUUGUACAAAACUUCAUCAAAGGAACAACUUGGGAUGAAAAUUUACAAGGUAUUGCUAAAUGAAGAAUCUCAGUUAUUAACUACAUCCACAUGCCCAAGAUGAUCAUUAUCAAUAAAAAGAAAAAGGUAGUCAUGUCAGAUGACAAAUGUGGUUUUCAAGA